GAUGAACGCUGGCGGCGUGCCUAAUACAUGCAAGUCGAGCGAACAGACGAGGAGCUUGCUCCUCUGACGUUAGCGGCGGACGGGUGAGUAACACGUGGAUAACCUACCUAUAAGACUGGGAUAACUUCGGGAAACCGGAGCUAAUACCGGAUAAUAUAUUGAACCGCAUGGUUCAAUAGUGAAAGACGGUUUUGCUGUCACUUAUAGAUGGAUCCGCGCCGCAUUAGCUAGUUGGUAAGGUAACGGCUUACCAAGGCAACGAUGCGUAGCCGACCUGAGAGUGUAAUCAGCCACACUGGAACUGAGACACGGUCCAGACUCCUACGGGAGGCAGCAGUAGGGAAUCUUCCGCAAUGGGCGAAAGCUUGACGGAACAACGCCGCGUGAGUGAUGAAGGUCUUCGGAUCGUAAAACUCUGUUAUUAGGGAAGAACAAAUGUGUAAGUAACUAUGCACGUCUUGACGGUACCUAAUCAGAAAGCCACGGCUAACUACGUG
rnacentral:rRNA from 1 species